ACAGUGGACGCGCCAUAUUCAAGAAUGUGACGAAAGAAAAAAAGGCAAGCAGAUCAGACAUGUCUUUCAAAAAGCUGUUUUGUUUCUUGUAGUACGUGCAUAAUUUAGAGGUGAGUGGAGCUGGAAUGGACAAGCUUUGCUAAUCACUACACAACCAACACUGUACAGCUACAAUCAGGGACACAAGUUCAGCUCAGCAAACGGGUCAAAGGUUACCAGCAGGUCAAUUAUAAAACUCCCACAAGGCGGUAUCAACAUCAUUCAGCCAUCAAGAGGACACCAGAUCAUUCUGACAACCCAAUCACCCAAGCCAACCUUGUCAAUGUGCAGCUUUCGUCAAACUCCACAACCCAUGCUGUCCAAAGACCAGGCACUCUGCAAAUGGUUCUGUCGGACACUGCCACCCAGCUCCAAGCUGCUCAGCAAUUACACCAGUUCAAAGACAGUUGAUUGCACAGGGUGGCUCAGGCUGUAGUCUCUACAAAGGUCACUGCUGGUCGGUCUCCCUCUACAGAUGAAGCAGAUACAGGUAGUUCUGCAACAGCAGCAACUGCCGCAAACAAGUUGUGCAUGACAUACUAUACUGUGUGAGCUCGUAAUCAAGGCCGAGGAGUCCAUAUGUUACCAUAGAUUAGGCAGUGAGGAAUGUCAUUGCCUCAAGUGCUAUGUCGGGAGGUGUCAAGGAUGUCAAGUCCUUCCACAAAGACUGUUGUAUUGUCCUUGGCAUUUGAGAAGGCAACCAAUAUUGCUACGAUGAUCAGGGAUUCAAGUCUGUCAGACAACUGUGGCCAGUUUCUCUCCAAGUGGAAUCUAGAGCCAGAGCAGAUGAGCAUAAGGCAUGCCUCUCCCGUAUUGCUUCCUACCAUCAGCAGCCCUGCAGUACCAAACUGGUGUACGGUCAAGACCUCUUUACAGCUGGGUCUCUCUACCAUGCCUCUUAACCCUAAAAAGACUGGGGGCCUCCAACGAUUUCCAUUUAAAAAAAAAAGAAGAAAAAAAAAAGGUUGCGAAACAAAGGAAUAAAUGAGAAAUUUUAGACGCAUUCAAAGUUAUAAAGGACAUUAUUGAUACUAAUUGUUUUUUCAUGUGCAUUCAAUUCGGAUGCCACAAAGAAAAAAAUUAGCACAUGAAGGUUUUUUUUUAAGGAUUUACAGCCACAUUCUAAUUCCGUGCAUUCUUUAAGUUUAAUAGUAUGAUUGAAAAUAGAUUUGAAUUAUUUCGGAACAAUGAAAUAUACAAUUUUGUUGAUCAUGUCAUGAGUGGAUUCUCGUUUAAAAUCACUUUACAACAGCAGAGAUAUUUAGGGGGCGUUUAGCCCCGGCGGCCGUCUUUCCAAAAAUACCCCAGUCUUAUUAGAGUUAACCUGUUGGUAAGAGAAGACCCUUCAGUAAUUGAAUUGGGUAGCUUCUACUGCUAUCGCUGGCUGGUUGGAGAUGCCCUGAGGAGAGUGGAGAUAGCCUACAAGAAGACCAGGUUUUCGGGAACGUCCUUCACACCCUUGGCGACUACCUUGAGGAACUUCUGCAGAUCAUCAAGAGGACACCUCCCUGACAGGAUCAGUAUCAACAAAAAAAGCUUGAAUAGGUUUUCAAUUAGAAGCUACCCAGCCCUUGAUCCUGCUCCACCACCACCACCAAUGGUAGCUCCAGCUCGUGGUUAAUAUGCAGAGAAGGAGAAUCUUUGUUAAUUCCUCCAGCUACCCAGCCCUUGAUCCUGCUUCACCACCACCACCAAUGGUAGCUCCAGCUCGUGGUUAAUAUGCAGAGAAGGAGAAUCUUUGUUAAUUCCUCCAGCUACCCAGCCCUUCUGCUCCACCACCUCCACCACCAAUGGUAGCUCCAGCUCAUGGUUAAUAUGCAGAGAAGGAGAAUCUUUGUUAAUUCCUCCAGCUACCCAGCCCUUGAUCCUGCUUCACCACCACCACCAAUGGUAGCUCCAGCUUGUGGUUAAUAUGCAGAGAAGGAGAAUCUUUGUUAAUUCCUCCAGCUACCCAGCCCUUCUGCUCCACCACCACCACCAAUGGUAGCUCCAGCUCAUGGUUAUUCUGCAGAGAUGGAGAAUCAUUGUUUAUUCCUCCAGUUACCUAGCCCUCCUUACCCACCAAGACCAGUGAGAUCUCUGGCUCCUGGUUAUUAUGUAGAGAUGGAGAAUAUUUGUUUAUUCCUCCUACCCAGCCCUCCUGCCCCCACCACCACCAAUGGUAGCUCCAGGUCCUGGUUAUUAUGCAGAGAUGUAGAAUCUUAGGAAGCAGAGAGAUGAUACGUGUACCAUAGAAGAGGCAGAGAAAGUGCAGGUCAUGUGACUCAGUAUGCAACAUGGACACACCCCCUAUCUGGUGAGAGAGAUGGUCUAUCAGAGACAAGGACAGACAGAUCAUGUGGGUGGCCCAGCACAGCAAUGUGUGAGAUAUGGAAACAGUGCCUGAUGGAAGCAGAGAUUGUAGAUAUUUUAACUGACCACUUGACUUUACAGUUCAUUCCUGACUAACCUACAGGAUUGCAGAUUAUGACUGAAUUAUCAGAUGAAUAAUUGAUUUUGAUUUAAUCUUGAAUCCUGGACAAAGUUACUGCCUUUAAAUAUCCCAAUAUAUAUAUUUUUUUAUUUAAGGCUACAUAACAAAUGUUUGCAAUCAAUCGCUUAUUACAAUAACCAAUUAAGAUCACAGUUACAUGCACCAGGAACCAAUCAGAGCAAUCCAUCGCAAAACAUUGGGUUCAAAGGUCCAUGUGCCUGGAGAAGCAAGCACCAUUUUCUAGAAGUCAAACUCAAAAUAUUUUACAUAAAUCUUCUGUCGUGUAAAUCAAAUUGAAGGAACCAACAGUUUAAAACUUUUAGGUCACUUUGUCAAAAAUAUUUCAGGCAUCACAUGUAUGACUUGAAUUUGGUUUUGCUACUCCUGAACUUAUUUUUGUUAUGUAUUUUAAGAUUUCAUUUGUGUCACUACAAGAAGCAGGUCCAAGCUAUUAUCUAAUUUCUGACAAUUCGAAUAUCUGAAUUGUCUAUUGUUUAUGUAAGGCAUGGCUUUUUUUUUUAUCAUGAUUCCAUUGUAUUUUUAUCAAUUCAUUUUAACAAUUCUGCAAAAGUGGAUCCAAAGGUUUUCCAGAGUUUUUCCCUCUUGUGUUUUAUCUCUGGUUUUUUACCCUGGUUCUACUUGUAGAAUUGUUUAGCCCUAUACAGGGUAUAUC